rnacentral:lncRNA from 1 species
ACUUUGAUGAUGCCACACGUGACAGUGACAUGGCGUCGCGCCUUCUGAAAAUUUUUAACCGGCAUUUACAACGCAUGCUCACGCCAAUUGGUAACUUUUAUCAGUUUUUGAUACACUGUACGAUCUUAUUCGUAGGCCUACAGUUUACUAUGAUUUGAUUACCCUCACCAAAAGAAAACUCACAUUUUCAUACGAACGACAUCGUCUAUGAAUUCGUGUUCUAUGAGUUAAUCAGAUUUCGAUCUGUGCGCACUGUUGCAAGAAGUUGAACCACUCGUUUUGUUGGAGUCGUGUGGCAUAAAACAGCUGUGAGCUUCACGACUGUCGAGAUCAUUGGAUUGGCCCUUUGGGAAUAACUGGACAAACCACUUGAACCCAGCACAUCACCUCUGACCCCUGUGUCAUCUGUGGCUGGUCCUCAAGAGACCAGUGUUGACAUCAACUUCAAAUAUGACACUGAAGAGCAUCAAUGAGGUCCACUUUUCCGACUGCUGGAAUGCAAACUGAUUAAUAUUUAUGUAAAGAAAUAAAAAAUGUUUAAGAUUAAAUGAUAUUAUUAGCACCAUAGCACUUGUCCUAACAAUUCAAUAUAACUGAUUUCAUGGUUGCAUGUAUGUUUGUAACCUUACUUUUUGAAAGAUACUAUUUUCUAAAUAAAUGCAAACAGAUGUUA